AAUCAACGAAUAAAGGACAUAUAGGAAUAAUUAAGCAAAUGCAUAGACUCCUUAAGGAGAUAUUGCAAUAAAGUUUUUUUUAUUUGCAUUAGCAAUAUCUUAAAUGUGAAGAGCAAAAUUUCCAGCAGAAGAAGAUAAAAAAAACCCGUACAAUUUGGUCAAAAAUUAUAUUGUAUGGAGAAUCUCAAAAGAAUGCAAACCCUAGCCAAACUCGAUCUUCAAGGAAUCAGUAUGCGAAAGUAGAAUGCCGGUGGCUGCUUACAAAAUAUAAAGUCAUUCUAUUUGGUUAUAUAUGAGAAAUGCGUGACGAAAAGUUCAUUCAACUUAUUGUAAAAUCCAACAAACAGCAAAAUGAGAAACAAAAACAAACCAUUAAUAUGUAC
rnacentral:lncRNA from 1 species